GAACUGGAGAGUUUGAUUCUGGCUCAGAUUGAACGCUGGCGGCGUGCUUAACACAUGCAAGUCGAACGCGAAAGGGACUUCGGUCCUGAGUAAAGUGGCGCACGGGUGAGUAACGCGUGGAUAAUCUGCCCUUAUGAUCGGGAUAACAGUUGGAAACGGCUGCUAAUACCGGAUACGCUCAAAAUGAACUUUUUGAGGAAAGAUGGCCUCU
rnacentral:rRNA from 1 species